rnacentral:lncRNA from 1 species
AGAAGAAUUGGUAGGAUACUCUUCAAUGAGAAACAUCACAGAAGUCUCCCAUAGGAACUUACCUGCAGAGAAGGGCAGCUGUGUGUAGAUCAUAUUCACAAAUACACUGCCAGAAGGCUGGAUCACAAUGUUCUGUCCACAAGAAAAGGCAAUGAUUACCAAGCAUGUUUAGGAAAGUUUGCCCUCCGCUUAGACUGAUGGCUACGCCCUUGAGGCAUGUCUCAGUGUCAGUCAGACCACACUUGUGGAUGUCACCCAGAACAGUGAAAUCAUUGCUGUCACAGAGCUAGAAGAAGAAAAAAAAGCUUUCUGUCACAUUUUGGAUAUUUUCUUACCAGGAGGGCGUCC